rnacentral:rRNA from 1 species
UACGGAGGGAGCUAGCGUUGUUCGGAAUUACUGGGCGUAAAGCGCGCGUAGGCGGCUUUGUAAGUUAGAGGUGAAAGCCCGGGGCUCAACCCCGGAACUGGCCUUUAAGACUGCAUCGCUUGAAUCCGGGAGAGGUGAGUGGAAUUCCGAGUGUAGAGGUGAAAUUCGUAGAUAUUCGGAAGAACACCAGUGGCGAAGGCGGCUCACUGGACCGGCAUUGACGCUGAUGUGCGAAAGCGUGGGGAGCAAACAGG